rnacentral:rRNA from 1 species
UACAGAGGGUGCGAGCGUUGUCCGGAAUCACUGGGCGUAAAGGGUGCGUAGGCGGUUUGGUAAGUCUGAUGUGAAAUCUAUGGGCUCAACUCAUAGUCUGCAUCGGAAACUGCCGGGCUUGAGUGUGGGAGAGGUGAGUGGAAUUCCUGGUGUAGCGGUGAAAUGCGUAGAUAUCAGGAGGAACACCUGUGGCGAAAGCGGCUCACUGGACCAUAACUGACGCUGAUGCACGAAAGCUAGGGGAGCAAACAGG